rnacentral:rRNA from 1 species
GGUAUGCACUGGCUUCGCUGAUUCCUCCUUUCUGAAGAACUGUAAUGCCAUUAAUUUGGUGUUGCAGGGAAACAGGACUGUUACUUUGAAAAAAUUAGAGUGUUUAAAGCAGGCUAACGCUUGAAUACAUUAGCAUGGAAUAAUGAAAUAGGACGUUAAUCCUAUUUUGUUGGUUUCUAGGAUCGACGUAAUGAUUAAUAGGGAUAGUUGGGGGCAUUAGUAUUCAAUUGUCAGAGGUGAAAUUCUUGGAUUUAUUGAAGACUGACUACUGCGAAAGCAUUUGCCAAGGAUGUUUUCAUUAAUCAAGAACGAAAGUUAGGGGAUCGAAGACGAUCAGAUACCGUCGUAGUCUUAACCAUAAACUAUGCCGACUAGGGAUCGGAUGAUGUUAAUUUUUUAAUGACUCAUUCGGCGCCUUACG